rnacentral:tRNA from 1 species
UCCCUGGUGGCUCAGCCAGUAAAGAAUCUGCCUACAGUGCAGGAGACCUGGGUUCAAUCCCUGGUUUGGGAA